GGGAUUGCCUCAGUAACGGCGAGUGAAGCGGCAACAGCUCAAAUUUGAAAUCUGGCUCCUUCGGGGUCCGAAUUGUAAUUUGUAGAGAGUGCUUCGGGCGAGACCUCGGUCUAAGUCCAUUGGAACAUGGUGUCAUAGAGGGUGAGAAUCCCGUAUGCGACCGUGGCUCGAGCCCAUGUGAAGCCUCUUCGACGAGUCGAGUUGUUUGGGAAUGCAGCUCAAAAUGGGUGGUAAAUUUCAUCUAAAGCUAAAUACUGGCUGGAGACCGAUAGCGCACAAGUAGAGUGAUCGAAAGAUGAAAAGCACUUUGGAAAGAGAGUCAAACAGUACGUGAAAUUGUUGAAAGGGAAGCGCUUGCAACCAGACCUGCCCGUAGGCGAUCAGCCGCUGUUCUCAGCGGUGUACUCGCUCUGCGAUCAGGCCAGCAUCGGUUUCGGCGGUCGGAUAAAGACCUUGGGAAUGUAGCUUCCCUUCGGGGAAGUCUUAUAGCCCUCGGUGUAAUGCGGCCAGCCGGGACCGAGGACCGCGCUUCGGCUAGGAUGCUGGCGUAAUGGUUGUAAGCGACCCGUCUUGAAACACGGACCAAGGAGUCUAACAUCUAUGCGAGUGUUUGGGUGUCAAACCCAUACGCGGAAUGAAAGUGAACGGAGGUGAGAACCCUUAAGGGCGCAUCAUCGACCGAUCCAGAUGUCUUCGGAUGGAUUUGAGUAUGAGCAUAGCUGUUGGGACCCGAAAGAUGGUGAACUAUGCCUGAAUAGGGUGAAGCCAGAGGAAACUCUGGUGGAGGCUCGCAGCGGUUCUGACGUGCAAAUCGAUCGUCAAAUUUGGGUAUAGGGGCGAAAGACUAAUCGAACCA
rnacentral:rRNA from 2 species